UGGAAGGGACUCACCCUUGAGGGGGAGAUUGUUGGAAAUCCAAGUGUGAGUCAAAGUCCCACGUUGGAUAGAAAUGAGAAAGUAUAGCACUAUAUAAAGGUGAAAGACCUAUUAACCCAAAUCCUUAAGGUUUUGGGUAGAGAAUGGUGUCAAUCCCUUAUGUGGUUGGGCUCAGAUCUCAUUGGUAUUGUCUCUCCCG
rnacentral:lncRNA from 1 species